ACACAACCACAAUAAUUUAGUCUUUGUAUUUUUCAGUGCAGAGGUUGACUCAAAGUGCUUCAAAUUGCACUGCGAUACAUUCUUCACACUCUGGACCUCUUGUGGAAAAGAACUCGGAGUAAAAAUAGUGAUAACCGACUUGCAAGCACAUCCCGCAGAACAAAAAAAACACACACAAAAAAACGUACAAAUUAAAUAAAAUACAACGAUAAUUAAACAAAAGUCAUAUUCUCUGCCAUCAAAACUUGGAUGUUUAAAGAUAAACAUUAGAAGUUAGAAGUUCAAACACAAUAUGCAAUUAAAAUGUCACUUCAGGUCAAAGGCCAAGCUUCUCACAUUCAAGAAAAAAACUAAAGCACACACACAUUAAAGUAGGUCUUUUCUGAGCUGUCAGAUGCUCCCCAGAAAUAAAGACUUAGUUUAAAUUGAUGACAAACAAAGCAGAGCACCCCUUAAAACAAUAGUUUUUGUUCAGGAGCAAAAUAAUCAUAAUAAUAAUUUUUAUUCUUGCAAAUUCAGUCAAACUGUUUUGCUUGGCCACAGCUGGAAGCUAUCAAGCUCAAACAGCAGGUACAACUUCAGAGUCACAGAGAUAAACUUACAGCCUGGUCAGUGUGUUAGCCAGCAGAGAGGACCUGCAGCAGCUGCAUGCAUUGUCUCAGGAUCUAUUACAGUAUAUGGGCGCCCCCUAGCGCACGAAUUUUACGCGUCCAACCAGAUUCAAUUUAGAGCAGCCGUCCGACAAGGAAACAGCUUCAGUCUCGUCUCUCUCAUCGACCAAACUAAUGAGCAGCACUUAAAAAUGAUGUUUGUUUAAAUUCUGUUUUACAUGACUUGGACAGCAAAGCUUUGCGAGUUGCCAAAGUUGGAUUUACUUUUUGCCUCUCCAGUCAGUCCCUGGGGCGCAUUUAGAACAAUCACGUCUUUGUUCUAAAACAAAUUCGCCGAUUAUAUUUGUCUGCAUGACUAUUUUGUCGCCUUUAUUUACAGAUCCCGUGAACAAGAGGAGUCUGUAAAUAAAUUCUCCGAGAUGAUACGACUCACCGAGGAGCCACUUUUUAAAUCGAGAAAUCACCCCAUUGAUGGCGACUGGACCCAAUAUGCCAUGGCAUUUUUAUCUGCAACAUUGCAUAAUAGCAAUCAGCAGCCUUUAACACUCCAGUAAAGGUUGUUGCUCUUGUCUCAUGCUGACGCUGUUACAUUGGUUGUGUGUUAAGAAAACGGGUUUAAGUGUCUGCGUGUGUGUUUUGCUUCAUUUACAGAACAUCUUAUGAAAAAAAGUAAGGUUUCAAAAGGUUAAGAGGCAGCAGAAUUUCCAUUUAAAACAUUAAAAUGCAGUGAUUUCUCCACUUUCUACCUGCCUGUAUGUCCGCCUGCCUGCCUCAAGGGCUGCUAUCUAAAAAGGGAACGAUUCCAGAUAGAUAACCAUGGUCAAUUUGUGAAUGACAGAUCAUAAUGCCAGUUUCAACAGAUAGGAAUCAAUUUGUCUCAAUGAUCGCUCUGUAGGCUAACUGCCAGUGUGCUCCUGAUGUAUAUGGAAAUGUUUAUUGUUUAAAUCAUUGCUGGCGGGUCUGAAGUGAUCAAAACUGCAGAUAGGAAGAUGAGUGGUGUAAACAGAGCCUUGUUUUGGCUGCUAAAGACUGCAUCAAUAGUGCAUGCAUGGCGAUUACUUCAGGCAGCAGCAUUGUAACAGCGGUGGCCACGGGGUCAAUGGUUUAACUCUGAGGACUCGCUUGAAAAGUCUGUAUGGAGGAAUUGUGUGAUAAGUGCUCUCUAACCCCCAGAAACUACAGCUGAAGCACCCUUCGGCGCAGCAGCUUAAAUCCCAUCUGUCCCGGUGGAGCUGCAUGGUGACCAUCAGUGCUAAACUGCGGUUGGACUGAGCACUUACGUGUCUCUUUGAGUCCCCUCUUUUCUCUUUAAAAAGAGGAGAGUGGGCCGUCGACUCGCCACAGACUCCUUUUUUUUAUGCUCCUGAAGUGACAAGGUUUUGGAGAUGACAAGUGAGAAAGCUGUGGCAGCAUUCAGGUCUAAGCCAGACAUGUGGCCCCACAGACCGCAGACAGAGGAUUGGAUUACUGUAAUUUAAGGUGUAAUGUGGUAGCACCAGGGGAUAUGUUAAAUGUCCACAGAAGUAUUUAGAAGUUUAACUUGAGCUUAUACCUUUUAUUUAGCGUUAAAUUGUGCGGUUUAUUUUCUAGAAUCUCAAUUCUAAUCAGACAUAGUAGACACACAUUAAAUUAGCUUUAAUUUGACCAAUUUGUUACAGUAUCUAACUCAAGUAGAUUAGAUUUAUUUUUAUUUUUCUUAAUUCUUUUCUUGUUCAAAUGCAUGUUUGUACAUUUUCAUAAAAAACGUGUCUAUACUUAUGAUGCUGUAGCACAGAUUUCUUGCAGUAAAUUGGCCACUUAUGAGUUGGAAUUUCAGCUAAACUAGCUAGCUACACAUUAUUUUAUGUUCACUGGGCCCCACUGUCAAUUCUGUGUCUAAUAAAGUUUUACAUAUUAUCUGUCUUGAUUGCUUUUCUCUGCACACCCUAGAGUAAGGAUUAAUCUUUCAAGUUCAUUUAAAAAUUGUAAAUCUCCUUUUUUUGGUGAAAAUUCCUUAUCUCUUGGCAUGUUGCUUAAAAUCUACAAUGAGGAGUUAGAGCAGAACUUAAAGGGAUGCCUCUAAGUGUAGGCCAAUAAUAUUGAAUAUAAAACCCAGGCUCUGCAUGUGCGAUUUAAAUAUUCAAAGUGCAGUUCUUUGUCCUAAUCCAACAACUUGUAACAUAAACAUAUUUAGUUGUAAUGUGGUUUAUGACAUAGGUUACAGAUCGACAUUGAUGGGAUUUUACUCUCUGGGCUUUGUUGUAGGCACAAAGAAGAUUGUGAGAAUUUUACAUCAAAUCCGGUCACGCCCAAGAUGGAACACAACAAGAGGACGCUCUUGAGAAAAAUAACUGCUCGACCAAUAAAGUGGUUUCUCACAGAAAUCUCUGCAGAAGGUCACUUCUUUAUCACCAAUAAAAUGUUAUUUACAUCUC